rnacentral:misc_RNA from 1 species
GACCUUCUGAAUUUCACCAAGUUCCUUCUCAAGAAUGUCUUCUUGCAUUGCUAGUGCUCUUGUAGCCUCAGAGUUCUUCUGUGACAAUGCUGCAGUCUCGGCAAUUGGCUCCUUCAACGCCUUCCUAGUCACCCUCAACCUUAUUCCAAGCUUCUCCAACUGCCUCGACAACACCCUCACCACCGUCCCUGAGCUCCGAACAUCCUCCUCCACCUUCUCAAUCCGCGCCAUCAAACCAACACCUGCCCCACUCA